GGGAGGCAGCAGUGGGGAAUAUUGCACAAUGGGCGCAAGCCUGAUGCAGCAACGCCGCGUGAGGGACGACGGCCUUCGGGUUGUAAACCUCUUUUAGCAGGGAAGAAGCGAAAGUGACGGUACCUGCAGAAAAAGCGCCGGCUAACUACGUGCCAGCAGCCGCGGUAAUACGUAGGGCGCAAGCGUUAUCCGGAAUUAUUGGGCGUAAAGAGCUCGUAGGCGGUUUGUCGCGUCUGCUGUGAAAACCCGAGGCUCAACCUCGGGCCUGCAGUGGGUACGGGCAGACUAGAGUGCGGUAGGGGAGAUUGGAAUUCCUGGUGUAGCGGUGGAAUGCGCAGAUAUCAGGAGGAACACCGAUGGCGAAGGCAGAUCUCUGGGCCGUAACUGACGCUGAGGAGCGAAAGGGUGGGGAGCAAACAGGCUUAGAUACCCUGGUAGUCCACCCCGUAAACGUUGGGAACUAGUUGUGGGGACCAUUCCACGGUCUCCGUGACGCAACUAACGCAUUAAGCUUCCCCGCCU
rnacentral:rRNA from 1 species